GAUGUUUGUCAUCAGUCCACCAGUCUAACACUCUGUCAGGGUAGGCUGUCCUUACUUCUCGAUUCUUUUGUUCAGUGAAAAUAUCCAUAACCAGCCUACAGGAGAGAUAUUGUCUAGUGAAACCUGCUUAGCUGAAGACUGGUUGUGUGCCCCAGGGACAAACCAUAUGUUGUCCAGCCGCCUGUGUUUGAAUAAGCCCUCAAGUGACUCUGAUGUUAAAGUUGUUUUGUUUUGUUUUUUGAGACGGAGUCUCGCCCUCUCGCCCAGGCUGGAAUGCAGUGGUGCAACCUCGGCUCACUGCAAUCUCUGCCUCCCGGGUUCAAGCGAUUCUUCUGCCCCAACCUCCCAAGUAGCUGGGAUUACAGGCGCGCGCCGCUAUGCCCAGCUAAUUUUUGUAUUUUUAGUCGAGACGGGGUUUCACUAUGUUGGUCAGGCUUGUCUCGAACUCUUGACCCCGUGAUCCGCCCGCCUCGGCCUCCCAAAGUGCUGGGAUUACUGGAGUGAGCCACCCGCCCAGCCGCUGAUGCUAAAGUUUGA
rnacentral:lncRNA from 1 species